rnacentral:rRNA from 1 species
AACGUAGGGGGCCAGCGUUGCUCGGAAUUACUGGGCGUAAAGGGUCUGUAGGCGGUGUGGCAAGUCGGAAGUGAAAUCUCAGGGCUUAACCCUGAGGCUGCUCCCGAAACUGCCAUGCUUGAGUGUGGGAGAGGCGCGUGGAAUUGCAGGUGUAGCGGUGAAAUGCGUAGAUAUCUGCAGGAACACCCGUGGCGAAAGCGGCGCGCUGGACCACAACUGACGCUGAGGAACGAAAGCUAGGGGAGCAAACAGG